AGCCAUUAGUUAAAUAUGUUAAAAUUAGUGCAAUAUGUUACGCGUCAAACGUGCGAGGCGACCACUUGUAGCUGGCGCAACUUAUUGAUUUCACCAAAGAGCGCUGAAAAAAGUAUAACGCAACGACGCCAUUUUCUUUUCUGCUCCACCAACAGCACAGCCAGCAGCAGUUUUGCUUUGAUCUGCAGAGAACGUCAACAGUUCCACGGGAGACCAAGCUGCACACAAGAGCAGCCAGCAACAGUUCGAAAUUUAAACAGUUGCUAUCAGCAGACUCAGCGUGCCCUGCAUUUGUCUUCGAUUCGACUAGAAACGUCAAGAGCAGUCGACGAGACAUUACUCCCAGCAGCAGCAGCAGACAGGCAAACUAACGUGUCCAAACGUGCAAGGAAAUCGCUUUUCACAGACCCAGAAGAGGAAACUGAAGACUACAAAAUUGCUGGAAUAAUGGCACCACACGAUCGUGACUUUGGCACAAACUCACGAGGCGGACGAGAUCGCGAGGAUGAUCGUCGCGGUGGCGGCGGAGGAGGCGGCAACAGAUUUGGCGGUGGAGGCGGCGGCGGUAAUGACUAUCAUGGCGUACGCAACGGCCGUAUUGAAAAACGUCGCGAUGAUCAUCGUGGCGGUGGAGGUGGCUCUCGCUUUGGGGGCGGUGGUGGGGGUGGAUUUGGAGGAGAUCGUCGUGGUGGCGGCGGUGGAGGUGGCAGCCAAGAUCUACCCAUGCGCCCCGUGGACUUUUCAAAUUUGACUCCGUUCAAGAAGAACUUCUAUCAAGAGCACCCCACAGUGGCGAAUCGUUCGCCCUAUGAAGUGCAGCGCUAUCGCGAUGAGCAUGAGAUCACAGUUCGUGGCCAGGCUGCCAAUCCCAUUCAGGACUUUGGUGAGGCCUACUUGCCCGACUAUGUUGUUAAGGAGAUUCGUCGCCAGGGCUACAAGUCGCCCACACCCAUCCAGGCACAAGGCUGGCCCAUUGCCAUGAGUGGUGCCAACUUCGUGGGCAUUGCCAAGACCGGCUCCGGCAAGACGCUCGGCUACAUUCUGCCCGCCAUUGUGCACAUCAACAAUCAGCAGCCUCUGCAGCGCGGCGAUGGACCCAUUGCCCUGGUGCUGGCACCCACACGUGAGCUGGCCCAGCAGAUCCAACAGGUGGCCACCGAAUUCGGUUCCUCCUCCUAUGUGCGCAACACUUGCGUCUUUGGCGGCGCUCCCAAGGGCGGCCAAAUGCGUGACUUACAGCGUGGCUGUGAGAUUGUUAUUGCCACACCUGGACGUCUGAUUGAUUUCCUCUCGGCUGGCGCUACCAACUUGAAGCGUUGCACCUACUUGGUAUUGGAUGAGGCUGAUCGCAUGUUGGACAUGGGUUUCGAGCCACAAAUCCGCAAAAUUGUAUCACAGAUUCGUCCAGAUCGUCAGACGCUCAUGUGGAGCGCUACCUGGCCCAAGGAGGUGAAGCAGCUCGCCGAGGAUUUCCUUGGCAACUACAUACAGAUCAACAUUGGCUCUCUGGAGCUGUCGGCCAAUCACAAUAUUCGUCAAGUGGUCGAUGUUUGCGAUGAAUUCAGCAAGGAAGAAAAAUUGAAGACACUGCUGUCAGAUAUUUAUGACACAAGCGAGAAUCCCGGCAAGAUCAUCAUCUUUGUUGAGACAAAGCGUCGCGUCGACAACUUGGUGCGAUUUAUCCGCAGCUUUGGAGUUCGUUGCGGCGCCAUUCACGGCGACAAGUCACAGUCUGAACGUGACUUUGUCCUGCGCGAAUUCAGAUCGGGCAAAUCCAAUAUAUUGGUAGCUACCGAUGUGGCAGCUCGUGGUUUGGAGGCCGUUUAUUGUAGUAUGAUGGGGAGGAUAAGUGAGCAACUACAAGUACCGUUAGCAGUACUCGUAACUUGAGCAAUUUUUGCUUAUAAAAAAUGAAUUUAAAUUGAGCAAAAAAAGGUUUUUAAAGUUCACAAAGAUCGAGUCGUGUUCGCUUGGCUGCCGCACGGACGCGCGAUCAACGUAAACAGAUGUGUAUAUAAUAUAUAUCCCCAACAUCAUGCAUCAUACGUGGCCUCUGCAGUGUUCUGUUUUGAGAAAGAGACAAUCGAAUCAAUCAAUCAAUCAAAUCAAUAAAUAAAUCAAUCGAUCAAUCAACUAAGCAACUAAACGUAAAGUGUAACAAGAUGGCAACCCAAAAACAGUUGAAGGCGGCGCUACAAAAUGCAGGUCGAGAGACAAAAUAAUAAUAAAAAAAAAAAAGUUAUUAACGCGAGGCUGAAAAGUCGUCGGUCGGCCGGUUGCUAAGCACAAAAUAUCUACUACGAACUAUCAGCCAAGGCAGCAACAGCAAACUCCAAGUCCAGUGCCUGGAGCAGAGGAAUGAUGCACUUGCACCACAUGCAACACACACGCACAUACAAAAAUACACACACACACACACGUACUCUAAACACACACAAGAGAACAGCUAAAGUGUACGCAAUGAAGAUUUCUGUGUGUUCUGUGUGUGUGAGAAGCGGAGAAGCUGCUGCAAUGGAAAGAGUUGAGUUCUAAUGGAGUUCUCUUCAUACGAUGUGUCGUCACUGCUGCUGCUGCUGCUGUCGCUGUUUGCUUUUAGUGCCUAGCUAAACCAAUUGGGCGCGCCUAUCACGCCCAGUGUGCUGCCCGCCUGCCCUGCCUGCCUGCGCCGCCAAUCGCCCGUCGUAUAGUGGGUGGCCAACUGAGACUGGAACACGCCGCUUGUUUUCUUAAGACACCUCCCUGUGCUCUCUCUGUGGUCAACUAAACAGAUCUCUGGGUUGGCUAGGAGAGAGAUCUUACGUUACGUUAAUUGGCGCACGCGGGGCUCAAUGCAACAAACUCUCGAUGCUCUCGCCACACAGCCACAUUUGGUUUUAUAUAAUAUAUUCAUAUGAUGGAGUGAGAGUUUGGAUCACGAGCUGCGCGCGGCGCCGCCCACACAGAACUUUGAGAUUUUGAUUGAGAGAAAAAUUGCAAUAACAAUUUAUAGCACAACCCCCCAAAAAGAAGACGUGGAUGGCAUUAAGUAUGUCAUCAACUUUGACUAUCCACAAAACAGCGAGGAUUAUAUUCAUCGCAUUGGACGCACAGGACGUUCG